CCAAUAGCGCAUAUUAAAGUUGUUGCAGUUAAAAAGCUCGUAGUUGAAUUUCGGGAUUGGCGCAUCGGUCGUGCCUCACGGGGUAUGAACUGGUGCAGUCAAUUUCUCACCUUCUGGAGAACCGCGAUGUCCUUAAUUGGGUGCCGCGGGGAACCAGGACCUUUACUUUGAAAAAAUUAGAGUGUUUAAAGCAGGCAUUUUUGCUUGAAUACAUUAGCAUGGAAUAAUAAAAUAGGACGGCAUGGUUCUAUUUUGUUGGUUUCUAGGACCACCGUAAUGAUUAAUAGGGAUAGUUGGGGGCAUUAGUAUUCAAUUGUCAGAGGUGAAAUUCUUGGAUUUAUUGAAGACUAACUACUGCGAAAGCAUUUGCCAAGGAUGUUUUCAUUAAUCAAGAACGAAAGUUAGGGGAUCGAAGACGACCAGAUACCGUCGUAGUCUUAACCAUAAACUAUGCCGACUAGGAAUCAGACGAUGUUAAUUUUUUAAUGACUCGUUUGGCACCUUACG
rnacentral:rRNA from 1 species